rnacentral:rRNA from 1 species
ACUCCUACGGGAGGCAGCAGUGGGGAAUAUUGCACAAUGGGCGAAAGCCUGAUGCAGCAACGCCGCGUGAGGGAUGACGGCCUUCGGGUUGUAAACCUCUUUUAGUAAGGAAGAAGAGUGACGGUACUUGCAGAAAAAGCACCGGCUAACUACGUGCCAGCAGCCGCGGUAAUACGUAGGGUGCAAGCGUUGUCCGGAAUUAUUGGGCGUAAAGAGCUCGUAGGCGGUUUGUCGCGUCUGCUGUGAAAUCUGGAGGCUCAACCUCCAGCUUGCAGUGGGUACGGGCAGACUAGAGUGCGGUAGGGGAGAUUGGAAUUCCUGGUGUAGCGGUGGAAUGCGCAGAUAUCAGGAGGAACACCGAUGGCGAAGGCAGAUCUCUGGGCCGUAACUGACGCUGAGGAGCGAAAGCAUGGGGAGCGAACAGGAUUAGAUACCCUGGUAGUCCAUGCCGUAAACGUUGGGAACUAGAUGUAGGGGCCAUUCCACGGUUUCUGUGUCGCAGCUAACGCAUUAAGUUCCCCGCCUGGGGAGUACGGCCGCAAGGCUAAAACUCAAAGGAAUUGACGGGGGCCCGCACAAGCGGCGGAGCAUGCGGAUUAAUUCGAUGCAACGCGAAGAACCUUACCAAGGCUUGACAUGAACGAGAACGGGCCAGAAAUGGUCAACUCUUUGGACUCGUUUACAGGUGGUGCAUGGUUGUCGUCAGCUCGUGUCGUGAGAUGUUGGGUUAAGUCCCGCAACGAGCGCAACCCUCGUUCUAUGUUGCCAGCACGUUAUGGUGGGAACUCAUAGGAGACUGCCGGGGUCAACUCGGA